GAGGAGUCAAAUAUUUUCAGCCCUCACCCGGUCUGGGUCCUCUUGUUCCAGCUGUGGGCCAUUUUGUGCUGAGCGGAAGAGAAGUUAUUUUGAGUGUUC